ACGUCCUCGCCAAGCCCGGCCGCGCGAUCGAGCCAGAGGCUGCGGAUUUCGCCAAAGCCCCUGCCGUUGUCCCAGAUGCCGCGGAACUCGGCCCACGCAUCGGAGAGCGCCAUGAACAGGUCGCCGGCCCCGGCGGUGAUGCCAAGCGCCGNNNNACGGCGUUCCUUCAGGCGCGGAGAUCACAUUGGUGCCCAUGCCGACGGCGACCGCGAGGUCUCCGCCGAUCGUUUCCGCCUCGAGCAGAAUGCCGGACAGCUUCUUGCCGUCCGCCAGAACAUCGUUCGGCCAUUUCAGGAGAAAUCUGGUGCUGGCUGAUCCGCCGGAUCGCAUCCGAUGCUCUACGCUGACCGCCUGCAGGGCUGCUUCCAGCGCGAGACCUGCGGCAAAUCCAAGCGUCGCGGCGACUGGAGGCUGCACAUCCAGCGUCUCGACGAUGGUCGCGGCAAGAUUGCCGCGCGGGGAGAUCCAUGCGCGCUGGCG
rnacentral:misc_RNA from 1 species